rnacentral:rRNA from 1 species
UACAGAGGGGGCAAGCGUUGUUCGGAAUUACUGGGGCGUAAAAGGGCGCGUAGCGGCCGCCUAAGUCAGACGUGAAAUCCCUCGGCUCAACCGGGGGAACUGCGUCUGAUACUGGGUGGCUUGAAUUCGGGAGAGGGAUGCGGAAUUCCAGGUGUAGCGGUGAAAAUGCGUAGAUAUCUGGAGGAACACCGGUGGCGAAGGCGGCAUC